rnacentral:rRNA from 1 species
GGCUGCUAAUACCGAAUGAGCCUUAGGGUAAAAGAUUUAUCGUCUAAAGAUCGGCUCGCGUCAGAUUAGCUAGUUGGUGUGGUAAUGGCGCACCAAGGCGACGAUCUGUACUUGGUCUGAGAGGAUGACCAGGCACACUGGAACUGAGACACGGUUCCAGACUCCUACGGGAGGCAGCAGUGGGGAAUUUUCCGCAAUGGGCGCAAGCCUGACGGAGCAAUACCGCGUGAGGGAGGAAGCUUUUUGGAGUGUAAACCUCUUUUAUUUUCGGGAAGAAUUGAUGACGGUACCGAAUGAAUCAGCAUCGGCUAACUCCGUGCCAGCAGCCGCGGUAAUACGGAGGAUGCAAGCGUUAUCCGGAAUUAUUGGGCGUAAAGCGUCCGUAGGUGGCUUAAUAAGUCUGCUGUCAAAGCGUGCGGCUCAACCGCAUACAGGCAGUGGAAACUAUUAGGCUAGAGUGCGAUAGGGGUCACAGGAAUUCCCAGUGUAGCGGUGAAAUGCGUAGAUAUUGGGAAGAACACCAGCGGCGAAAGCGUGUGACUGGGUCUGCACUGACACUGAGGGACGAAAGCUAGGGGAGCGAAAGGGAUUAGAUACCCCUGUAGUCCUAGCCGUAAACGAUGACAACUAGGUGUGGUUCGUAUCGACCCGAGCCGUGCCGUAGCCAACGCGUUAAGUUGUCCGCCUGGGGGAGUACGCACGCAAGUGUGAAACUCAAAGGAAUUGACGGGGGGCCCCGCACAAGCGGGUGGAGUAUGUGGUUUAAUUCGAUGCAACGCGAAGAACCUUACCAAGGCUUGACAUCCUGCGAACCCUGAUGAAAGUUAGGGGUGCCUUCGGGAGCGCAGAGACAGGUGGUGCAUGGCUGUCGUCAGCUCGUGUCGUGAGAUGUUGGGUUAAGUCCCGCAACGAGCGCAACCCACGUUUUUAGUUGCCAGCAUUAAGUUGGGCACUCUAGAGAGACUGCCGGUGACAAACCGGAGGAAGGUGUGGAUGACGUCAAGUCAGCAUGCCCCUUACGCCUUGGGCUACACACGUACUACAAUGCAAUGGACAAAGAGCAGCCAGACAGCGAUGUCGAGCCAAUCUCAUAAACCAUUGCUCAGUUCAGAUUGCAGGCUGCAACUCGCCUGCAUGAAGGCGGAAUCGCUAGUAAUCGCAGGUCAGCAUACUGCGGUGAAUACGUUCCCGGGC